AAAUACGAGCGAACUAGCUAAGACCGUCGUCAUCCACCUGCUCGCUCGCCUCUUCGUGUUCGUCUUGUUCAUCCUGCUCGCCCUACUUGUCAUGCUCGUCUUGAUCGUCCUGAUCGCUGGACUAACUACAUCGGCCACACUCGCUCGCUCGAGCAGGCCAAGAAAUCAAUAGGUUUUGCAGAAGGGGUAUGGAUGGUAGGCGUGAUUGAUGAGAUUAAAAUGCCUGUUACAGAAACCAACCGAAACCCAAUAUUAGUUGACACAAAGACUUGUGUGAAAGAUACACUUCCUGCUGAACCACAACGAAGAAAUGGAAGGUAUGCACCUUUAUUAGCUUCUGUUUUGGGCUGAUGUUUUGUUGCCGUUGAUGAGGAAAUGCACCAGAAUUAAGUGCGAAGUCUGCGGACUAUACUAAUACACCAAGUUAGAGAAAAGCAGUAGCAUUGGUGAUGUUUUAAUCAGCAUCCUCAGUAAGUGUACAAAGAAGCACAAUUCUUGGAGUUGCUUCUUUGUGGUAAUUGCUAUGUUGGUUGUGCCAUGAAUGUAUUGUUCAUGUUGUAUCGUAGCCAUUGUUUGAUUCAAUUGUUGUAAGUUAUUCUUUGGAUGAAAUCGUUAAACAAGAGUUGUAAAAUUCAAUUGUUUUGUAUGGAAAGCUACGCUCAAAGUGCAAAGGAUGUCUCUCUAUCAAAUUUAGCAAAGUCAUAUAGUGAUGUUACAAUUGUAUGUUAAAAUUGGGAUGAAUGAAUAUGGUAUUAUUCAUGGA